rnacentral:rRNA from 1 species
UACGAAGGGGGCUAGCGUUGUUCGGAAUUACUGGGCGUAAAGCGCGCGCAGGUGGUCUUUCAAGUCAGUGGUGAAAGCCCGGAGCUCAACUCCGGAAAUGCCAUUGAAACUGUGAGACUUGAGGAUGAGAGAGGUGAGUGGAAUUCCCAGUGUAGAGGUGAAAUUCGUAGAUAUUGGGAGGAACACCGGUGGCGAAGGCGGCCCUCUGGACCGGUACUGACGCUGAUGCGCGAAAGCGUGGGGAGCAAACGGG